AUUGAACGCUGGCGGCAUGCUUUACACAUGCAAGUCGAACGGUAGAGGGGCAACCCUUGAGAGUGGCGAACGGGUGAGUAAUGCAUCGGAACGUGCCCAGUAGUGGGGGAUAGCCCGGCGAAAGCCGGAUUAAUACCGCAUGAGACCUGAGGGUGAAAGCGGGGGAUCGCAAGACCUCGCGCUAUUGGAGCGGCCGAUGUCAGAUUAGCUAGUUGGUGGGGUAAAGGCCUACCAAGGCGACGAUCUGUAGCUGGUCUAAGAGGACGACCAGCCACACUGGGACUGAGACACGGCCCAGAUUCCUACGGGAGGCAGCAGUGGGGAAUAAUGGACAAUGGGCGCAAGCCAUGUCCAGCCAUGCCGCGUGCGGGAAGAAGGCCUUCGGGUUGUAAACCGCUUUUGCCAGGGAGGAAAUCUUCUGGGCUAAUACCCUGGAAGGAUGACGGUACCUGAAGAAUAAGCACCGGCUAACUACGUGCCAGCCGCCGCCGUAAAAC
rnacentral:rRNA from 1 species